rnacentral:rRNA from 1 species
GGUUAAGCGACUAAGCGUACACGGUGGAUGCCCUGGCAGUCAGAGGCGAUGAAGGACGUGCUAAUCUGCGAUAAGCGUCGGUGAGGUGAUAUGAACCGUUAUAACCGGCGAUUUCCGAAUGGGGAAACCCAGUGUGUUUCGACACACUAUCAUUAACUGAAUCCAUAGGUUAAUGAGGCGAACCGGGGGAACUGAAACAUCUAAGUACCCCGAGGAAAAGAAAUCAACCGAGAUUCCCCCAGUAGCGGCGAGCGAACGGGGAGGAGCCCAGAGCCUGAAUCAGUGUGUGUGUUAGUGGAAGCGUCUGGAAAGGCGCGCGAUACAGGGUGACAGCCCCGUACACAAAAAUGCACAUAUUGUGAGCUCGAUGAGUAGGGCGGGACACGUGGUAUCCUGUCUGAAUAUGGGGGGACCAUCCUCCAAGGCUAAAUACUCCUGACUGACCGAUAGUGAACCAGUACCGUGAGGGAAAGGCGAAAAGAACCCCGGCGAGGGGAGUGAAAAAGAACCUGAAACCGUGUACGUACAAGCAGUGGGAGCCUCUUAAUGGGGUGACUGCGUACCUUUUGUAUAAUGGGUCAGCGACUUAUAUUCUGUAGCAAGGUUAACCGAAUAGGGGAGCCGAAGGGAAACCGAGUCUUAACUGGGCGUUAAGUUGCAGGGUAUAGACCCGAAACCCGGUGAUCUAGCCAUGGGCAGGUUGAAGGUUGGGUAACACUAACUGGAGGACCGAACCGACUAAUGUUGAAAAAUUAGCGGAUGACUUGUGGCUGGGGGUGAAAGGCCAAUCAAACCGGGAGAUAGCUGGUUCUCCCCGAAAGCUAUUUAGGUAGCGCCUCGUGAAUUCAUCUCCGGGGGUAGAGCACUGUUUCGGCAAGGGGGUCAUCCCGACUUACCAACCCGAUGCAAACUGCGAAUACCGGAGAAUGUUAUCACGGGAGACACACGGCGGGUGCUAACGUCCGUCGUGAAGAGGGAAACAACCCAGACCGCCAGCUAAGGUCCCAAAGUCAUGGUUAAGUGGGAAACGAUGUGGGAAGGCCCAGACAGCCAGGAUGUUGGCUUAGAAGCAGCCAUCAUUUAAAGAAAGCGUAAUAGCUCACUGGUCGAGUCGGCCUGCGCGGAAGAUGUAACGGGGCUAAACCAUGCACCGAAGCUGCGGCAGCGACGCUUAUGCGUUGUUGGGUAGGGGAGCGUUCUGUAAGCCUGCGAAGGUGUGCUGUGAGGCAUGCUGGAGGUAUCAGAAGUGCGAAUGCUGACAU